rnacentral:tRNA from 1 species
GGGCCCGUAACUCAGCUUGGCCAGAGUAACGGCCUUUUAAGCCGAUAGUCGCGGGUUCAAAUCCCGCCGGGCCCA